rnacentral:sRNA from 1 species
UCCCUUCCACGUGAAUUACAACUAUUCG